GGCUCCACCUGAGCUGGGCUGGGCAACAGGUUCUCCCUGGGGCCAGCUCAACAAGGCUCAGCUUCGAGGAGCCAACAAAGCAGCUGUGUCUGGGCACUGGUGGCACAGGAGGAGACCCCUGAGCCUCUGGGAAGCACAGAAUCCACACCCUGAGAGCUGAGGGAUGAAGAGGAGCUCCCAACAUCAUUUUAUUCCCGUAGCGGUGUCUGUCCAUGGCUCGGUCAGAGCAAGGAGGUUGUCACAGCAAAGAGCUCCUCUGGCAGUGCAGUGUGAGUGUGACAUCCUUCAUCUGCCCCCAGCUGCAUUUACUGGAGCGCAGUGAUGCUCUUCAGAUCCGCUCCAGGGCUCUCCUAAGUGGCACAUUCCUCCUGUGCCUUUUCCCUGGGGACUGCAGGUUUGCUCCCUUGCCAUCAUCCCCACACAGCUCGGUGCCUGAGCACCAAGGUGUGUUAAAGUGUCUGAAGGGAUGUUAUUAACUCGGAUUAUUUGUGUUUAAAAUAUGCAAACCCAUUAAGUCAAAUCACCUGCUGGUUUCCUGCUGAAUUUCGCUUCUAGACCCAAUCCUGUUACCUCUGAAAGCACAAAAAAAAAUGGGUUCGGAAUAGCUCCUGUUAGGAAAAGAAUCAAAAUUAUGAAUAAGGAUGUUUCAAACCCUUUAAACCAUCUGCAUGCUGCCAGCUUACCUAUUGUGCCUUUAAUUUAAAAGGAAUGCUAAAAUGAGUGCAAACACUGGAAAUUAUGGCUCUCUGUGGAAUACUAAUCUGUAAUAUUUGCAUAUUUCUGACAUUUUAAAAUUCCCCAGACUCUCAUUCCUUCAUGCUCCCGUCAGGGCAGUUUUGAGGACGUUCUGUGGUUAUGAGUGAGGAAGGAGAGCUGAGAGGAUCUCAUCAGGGUGCUCUGUGUGACUUGGAGAUCCUCCUGUAAUUUCGGGAUUUGUCUGGCUAAAAUCAAUACUCCAUCCCUUAACAUUUAGGGAGGCUGUAAGAACCAUGAUUCCAUCAGGAGUGCAAUUGGAUUUUCUUUUAUCAUCCUCUUUCUACGUCUUAUUUCACAUUGCCAGCGAGAAGAACAUU
rnacentral:lncRNA from 1 species